UCAAAAAUGUUUGGAUAACUUCACUUAUAAAUCAAUUGAGUGUUUGGUAAUUUAAAUUUAUAAAUUAGAAAAAAAAUUCAAAUCAUAAAAAUACAAAAAAUAUUAUUAAUAAAUAAAAUUUAUUACGUAUUAAAAAUUUAAAAAUUUCAUAAAAAUACAAAUCACAAAAAAAAACUCAAAAAAAGCUAGCAUUUGUAACUUCCAACUUCUAGCUCCAAAAGGCUGACAAGCUCCUUGCGACUUCUGC
rnacentral:lncRNA from 1 species